rnacentral:tRNA from 1 species
GGAGAGGUGGCCGAGUGGUCGAAGGCGCUUGCCUGCUAAGCAAGUGUGGAGGUAUUCCUCCACCGAGGGUUCGAAUCCCUCCCUCUCCG